rnacentral:lncRNA from 12 species
CCAUGGACCCUCACAUUACCAUUUUGGUGUGCCAACAGAUCUGCCAGAGAGCACCAUUUGAAAACCCAACCUCUCUGAAAUGCCACCUUUUACUCAUGAAGGCUUCAUAGUCAAUAUUUCUUUGGGACUUUAUUUCUGGCUUUGAUUUGGUGGACUGAAUUAAGCAAUGUUAAGAUUCUACAUCAUAUUAACACCUGGAAUUCUUCUCACUGGGCUGGUAGUUAAAAGCUCUUCAAUCCGUUUCUCUUUCCUUGUUAAUGAUAGAAUGGGAACCUUUAAAGAAUAUACAUGAAACUCCUCAUUAAUCAUUUGCUUCAAAGUUGGCAAAGGCAAUAACUUCACUCAUUGGCAUGAAUUUGCCCAAUUAAUCUGCAGGAAUUUCCAUGUCUGGUGAUUAUUUCCUGGGAUUGGUUUUCACAUGGUAUGCCCUCCUGGGAUGUUUCUUAGAACACAACUUAGACUGCAAGCCUUUCAACCUCAUGGGAUUUGUAUUUGGGCUUCUUUUCUGCAGGCUUUUACCCUGUGGUUCUCACUGGAACUCAUGUAUGUCAUUGGGGCUUUUAUUUUCACCCAACUUCCUCCUGGGCUUUUACAUCUGUGGCUGGGAAUGGCUAACUGCAUAAUCUCAGAAGUCCCCACGUCUGUGCUAACCCUGAGAUGUCAACUGUUCCAAGCCUUUGCUGAUGCACCACCAAGGCUGUGGUGCAGGUUCCCAGACCAAAAUGAAGUCUUCAGCUACUGCAAAGGACUCCCCAAAACGUCCUUGAGAUUGUGCUCAAUGAUGCAAGGGCUGUUCUGAGCCCUCACAGAGAAAACACAACUACAAAAAGGCUGUGGCGAGUAACGAAGAGUGAAAUCAAUCCAGACCCCCCUAUAAGAUGUGGGUUCUUCAGAGAGAAAUAAAAACCUGUUGGGUUGCUUGUCCUUACUGCCU